rnacentral:tRNA from 1 species
GCCGCCGUAGCUCAGGGGUAGAGCGCGCCCUUGGUAAGGGCGAGGCCGUAGGUUCGAUUCCUACCGGCGGCACCA